GAAGAAGAGCUGUUUAAUAAGAGAAACUGUAUUUCAAUACCGUCAAGGGUCUAGAAGUGCCCUUAAAAUGAUCUCCAAUUUCAACAAUUUUGGUGGUUUUUGAAAAGUUCUUGUGGAAAAUGGUCUGUAUUUUGCGUUUCCUCGGUUUGAAUUUAAUUAUUUUUGCAUCAGAUACGAAAAGAAGAGCUGUUUAAUAAGAGAAACUGUAUUUCAACACCGUCAAGGGUCAAGAAGUGCCCUUAAAUUGAUCUCCAAUUUCAGCCAUUUUGGUGGUUUUUGAAAAGUUCUUGUGGAAAAUGAUAAAAGAAGAAGAGCUGUUUAAUCAGUAAAACGGUAUUUCAACACCGUCAAGGGUCUAGAAGUACCUUUAAAUCAAUCUCCAAUUUCGGCAAUUUUGGUGGUUUCUGAAAAGUUCUUGUGGAAAAUGAAAAGAGAAGUAGAGCUGUUUAAUCAGAGCAACUGUAUUUCAAUACCGUCAAGGGUCUAGAAGUGCCCUUAAAUUGAUCUCCAAUUUCAGCAAUUUUGGUGGUUUUUGAAAAGUUCUUGUGGA